rnacentral:rRNA from 1 species
AUUGAACGCUGGCUGCAGGCCUAACACAUGCAAGUCGAGCGGAGCGGCGGACGGGUGAGUAAUGCCUAGGAAUCUGCCUGGUAGUGGGGGAUAACGUCCGGAAAUGGGCGCUAAUACCGCAUACUCUCAUAUUAGCCUUGGUCGGAUUAGCUAGUUGGUGGGGUAAAGGCGUACGAAUGCGAAGAUCCGUAACUGGUCUGAGAGGAUGAUCAGUCACACUGGAACUGAGAAACGGUCAAGACUCCUACGUGAGGCAGCAGCGGGGAAUAGUGGACAAUGGGCGAAAGCCUGAUCCAGCCAUGCCGCGUGUGUGAAGAAGGCCUUCGGAUUGUAAAGCACUUUAAGUUGGGAGGCGUUACCAAAAGAAUAAGCACCGGCUAACUUCGUGCCAGCAGCCGCGGAAAUAC